UGCUGUCGGGCUUCUGCUUCGUUUCUGGGCGUUGUCGGGCAAGUCUCGUCGGGCAAGUCUCGUCGGGCAAGACUCUUCGGGCAAGGUUGAAAGAGAAGGACAAAGUUAACUUUGAGAGGUGCCUUUGUGGGGCCUUAGGUAUAGGCCUUGAGGCUCACAAUCAAGGUUAACAUUUAGGUGCUCAGGCGUGCCACUGCCAUCCUUAGCAUGGCAGAUGUAAAAUGGUUGUCGUUCUUUCAUUGUAUAUAUAUAUACAUGUAUCCAAGAAACCGUGUUUAGUUAUAACAGGUGCCUUUGUGGGGCCUUAAAUGUAGGCCUUGAGGCUUCCCAUACAUAACUAAACCAGUACUCGAACGCAUCAUAUGUAUUCUUGUGAUUGUCGGAGUCUUCUAACUAUUAUAUUUCUGAUUACCCGAAUCCAAGGAAUAGAACGAACCCAAAUGGGUGCCUUUGUGGGGCCUUAGGUGUAGGCCUUGAGGCUUCCCAUCAGAGUUCAUUCUUAUGCUUAGACUCUUAAGAUCGCUGAAUAGGAUGAAUCCAAAUGGAUGCCUUUGUGGGGCCUUAGGUGUAGGCCUUGAGGCUUUCCAUUAGAGUCCAUCCCAUGCUUAAGCGUUCUAUGAUAAUCAUGAUAUAAUAGAAAGAAAACUAGAAGGUAGGUCGAUUACUUGCGCCCUAAGUAACUUCGGACUUCUCGUUUAUCAAGGAUUGUCGUGGAUGGGUUAAGUCCACAUAAAGUUCAUUUUUAUGCCUUGAGGCCAAUGACUUUUAAACUAAUCAGAUUUACAUGCCUGCGGGCUUAGGACUUGGAUCUAAUUUAAGCAUUGAAGAUAUAUUUAAAUCAGAUCCAAGUGUUGAGAAAGCUUUGUCAUCGUGAUUUUGCUAGGAACAACUUGCAUAUAACUAAAAACAUACAACAUAUCGCUAGACUUUAAAGAAAGAAAAGACAAAGACAGAACAAAACAGGUCGGGCAAGAUUAAACCUUAUCAAUUAAGGCUGAUCGUCUUGCAGGUCCCUAUCUUUGUGGUUCUGUCAAAGGUCUGAAAGCUUAGGUGGAGAGGGGAAAGGAGAAUACAAAAGGGUGAAUCGAUACUACAACAAGUUGAACAAGGUAGCAGAGCUAUUACAAAGUUUAGGAGAAAAGAUUUAUCCCGAGGGGGAUGAAAGCUUGGGCUGACUACAGCUUCGUUUGAAGGCAAAUCUGGCUUUUUGAGCAGAGUUUGUGCUUUUGUUUGUUUGAUUGAGUGUCUUUUGUUUGUUUGAUUGAGUGUCCUUAUUCCUGUCUUCUCUUCCUCCUUUUAUAGACUACUCGGUUCGGCUCCUGUAGCAACAGCUUUGCCCGAAUGCGGUCUGAGGGUGAUGACUCAUCAGCUUUAUUACAUGUAAUGCCACCAUAAAGUACUUUAUGGGCUGUGCAGUCUGAUCAGUCUACACCACUUGAUCCUUGGGUAGGUAGGCAAGUGGCCUUUGUGAAUUGUAUCAAGUCAGAAAAGGCCCUUUCCUGCCUUCCCAAGUCUCGGCUGGGCUUUGAUCUUCUCUUCCUCCAGGCCUCCUUUUGGGCCGACUCCAACCUUGGGCCAAAAAUCAAGUUUUAAUCCAAACAGGUUAAACUAAAUACCUCUUACACAUAAGUUAAAAUAAAUAUCAAUGAACCGUAACACUAUUAAGUUAUAGAAAAAUAGUAUAGUUAGGAAAAUGUGUUGGGUCAUGAGUCGGCCUAGUCCAAUACUAUAAAACAACUUAGGUCCGAUGAGCCUGUCAGGGUUAACCCAUUUGUUGGGUCAUGACUCGCGAGUUGGCCAAUAUAUACACAACGGGCUAGCAACAAUAAUGUGGUUCUAGUUCGCUUUUGACAAGAAUUGAAUCAAAACUUCUCACUUACAAAUGAAAAGGAAUACCACUACACCGAAAUACUAAGUGACACUUUAUCCUCAUCAUUAAACUAAAACACUAAAUUGUCUUCUUCUUUCCUAUUUAAUUUCCAAACGUCACUAAACAUGUCAAUAGAAAAAUGCAUUUCCUGUACCCUAGGAAAAGUCAGGGAAUUCCUUUCCAAGUACUAAACGCACCAUUAGAGUAAAAUUGAUAAUUCCUAGCGAAACUCAUGAGUCUGUAAUUUCUUAGACUCAUGUUUUCGGUUGUAACUAUUUAAAUCUAUGUUUGUCCCUCGUACUCUUGAUCACAAAGUAUGUCAAAUAUUUUAGAAAUAUUCACCCAAGUAAGUUUGUUAUAUAUAUGCAUUCAUGUAGUUAGACCUUAUUUGUUAUUUGGGUUUAAUAAUAUUCAUUCGGAAUUUAUUUAUUUGAUAAUUUAGUUUGUCAUGUUUGAUAUUUUUCAAAUAUUUUCAAUAUUACUCACACACGGUUAGAGACGGACCUGCAUGGCAUGUUUGCACACAGAAAAAAAUUGAUUAUUUGACAAAUAGGGUGCAUGAUGCAUCACAACAUCUUGCGUUUUUCAGAGAAAUAGUAUUCUUUUCAUGCUGGUUUUAUUUGGUCUUUAAUUCAAAAUCAAUUAUGGAAAUGUUACUUGAUUUUUGUAAUUGGUUGAUUUUCAAAAAAUUAUUUCAUUCCAUACAUUAUGAAUAAUCGGCGUUAGUAUGUUGCAAAGUUUGAGAAGAAGUUGAUCGAUGACUACGUUAGUAUCGUGCCACUUCCACUUGAAGGCUGAAGAGAGUUUGAGUAGCAAAGCAUGGAGAUAAAAUUGCCUACUAGUCAUUGAGGUUUGUAAGUCUUUCCGUCCUCAUUUGUCCUGACUUGGGAGGGAACCCGAGGAUUUUCCUACGUCCAUGUGUACAUUUUAUUUGUUUAUUAUGUAGGAUAUUUCAUAUGAUGCGGAUGUGAAAAUUAAUUUGAGAAUCGAAAUUGACAUGAAAUUUAUAAAUUGGAACCUAUUCACCCCCCUUAAACUAGUACCAUCCUUCAUUGAAACAUAACAUAUGAGCACUCCAUCACCACCUUCUCCUUUCACACCAUGGUGGAUUUUGCGGAUUUCUCAACCACCAAUCUCUUUCUCGCAAAGUACUUCUAUGAUAGUGCUACAUCGCCAUGGUAGAGUCUCAAGCCAAUGAAACAAUUAUCUCAUAAGUUUUUCUUCACAGAAAGGUUCUAAAAGACGCUGGGUGCUAGUCUCAUAGCGGGCUAGGGCCUAGGGCCUAGCGCCUAAGUGGCUAGGCGAAUUUAAGUAAAUCUAUUAUAUUUCGUGUAAAUAAGUGUUUGUUUAUACUUAAAAUAUAUAUAAUUUCAUCAUAAACUACAAAAUAUAAUAAUAUAUAUUAUGAAGUAUUGGAAUAUAAUGAAAACAUAUAGGGAACAAACAUAGAAUGUGUGUUGAUUUAAGUAUUCAACAAGUCUCUUACAAUUUAUUGAAAAAAAUAAAUGCAAAAUGAGAGUUAUCUAUUUUCUAUCUAAGUGAGCUGCAACCUAGACGAGUGCCUAGGCGGGUCUGGGCAGGCUAGACGGGUGACUAGGAGGUCUAGGUGGGCACCUUGACAGGUAUAUGCGCCAUUUCUUAAUUUUCAAACGCCUAGGCAUUAAUUGGGAUGGUAGCCAGCCGCCUAGCGCAUGAGAAUUUUUAGAACAGUCUCAUUAGCACGAAACACGAUAAAGAGGAUACACCAUGUUCAAAUUCAUUUCAAGACACAUAAGGACCCAAAGGAAGAGACAAAUAAAACCAUCACAAACCCACCACUUAAACCCCAAAAAAUCGAAACCAAAAAGAAUUCGCACUCCCUCACUCUUUCGAUAGCCAACAAUGGCGAACCUGAAGACGGCAAUGGACUCAGCCUUUUGGGACUUGAACGUUUCUUCACCUCAGACCCUUGAGGGCUCUGCCGCCGUUCCUGGCGACCCAUUUCCUCUCGACGGUACUCGAGCCAGCCAAGCCCUUAGGAUUCAACAACUCUCUCUUCUGGGAAAUGGGUUCCCUUUGGGUGUUAUACCUUCUGUUCAGGUGAAGAUUUCUCUGGAGAAGGCUCCUCGGAUCUCAGCACAGCUCCCCAAAGGAUUGGCACUUUGGAUGGGUAGUAGGGCUCUUGCUUGUUGAUAUACUAUAAGAAGAGGACAAAGUUAGUUAUGAAAAAGUGCAUUUGUGGGGCCUUAGUUGUAGGCCUUGAGGCUCGCAAUCAAAACUAACUAAGUGCUAGGCGUGCCACUGCUAUCUCAGUAUAGCAGAUGUAGAACAAGUGUGUUUAGUCAAUUACUUGCGCCCCAAGUUACUCGGACUUCUUGUUAUCAAAAGAUUGUCGUGGAUGGGUUAAGUCCACAUUAAGUUCUUUUUAUUGCCUUGUAAACAAGGACUUUUAGUUCAUAGUCUCGUAUGUUCAAAUGAAGGGAGUCCAAAACCCUUUAAGCCAUUUACUUAGUUGUUUGAUUUUAAUGAUAACAUAUCCAUUAAACUAACCAGAUCCAGAUACAAAUAGAACUCUUAAAGUAGGAAAACUGUUGGAAAUAACUUGAAUACAUACUGGAGAAUGCAUUAAGUAAUAGAUUAGAAAACAAACAAAGAGCCUCAUGCAAGAUUUCACCUUGUUUGGCAAGGUUGAACCUCUUGCAAUCGUUUCUCUUUGAACUAACAGUGGUUUGUACGCUAAAAAAGGAUGGAUGGUAAACAAGUUUACACAAGGGAAUUGAUACUAUGCCACUAAGGGAGGUACCAGAGCUUUAAACUGGACAAGAGAUAGCUUGUCGCUAAAAAGGAUUGAAUCUGGGUUGAUUUCAGCUUUUGGAUGCAAAUCUGGCUUGAGAGCAGAGUUUGUAUGUUUGUUUGUUUAAUUGGUUGAGUGUCUGGCUUGAGAGCAAAGUUUAUAUGUUUGUUUAUUUGAUUGGAUAAGUUGUCUCUAGGGCCUCUUCUUCCUUUUAUAGGCAAAUUAGCCCGACUGUUGUAACUUUGUUCUUACCUGAAAGCACUUGGAGGGUAGUGAGUCAUCAGCUGUUUACUUGGAAUGCCAUUAGAAAGUGUUCUUUGGCUGGUAGUAGGUUAGUCUCCAUCACUUGUCACUUCAAUGGUAAGCACGUGUCUUGUAUCUUGGCUGAGAAGGCUUCAAUUUGCCUUUGGGCUUGAUGCCGGGCUUCGGGCAAGUCUCCUUUAAUUUGGCACCGUUGGGCUUUCUUUCAUCCAAGUCCAAUGUUAAAAUAUUAACCCAAAUAGUGCCCCCUUUAAUCAUUGUUGAGUCUACAACCCAAGACGCUAAUAAUGAUUAAACAGCCACCACAAGCCUUCACUCGGGACUUGCCCAUUGUAAAAUAACCGUUGUUUAACAAAAACCUUUGCAUUUACCCACGAAUUCCAAUGUUAACCAACCACUUACUAUAUGAUCCCUAUAUAAACUCUCUGGCUAGCUAAAUACCUUAGCAAUUUCGAGCCUUCAAAUUUCUAGAACUCUCAGUAUUCUCAAAACUUUCCCAGUAUACUCUUGCUUUCUUACUUCUUACUCUUUAAUCGUCAAUUUUCUCCUCAUUUUCCUUCAACUCUACUCAAUGGCACCCAAAGUUGCUUGAACUCAAUCUUCUUGCGAGACUGGUGAGGGGAUUUCCACCAUGUGCCGCUUGCUCAACGACCUUCAUCGCCCUCGGGCAAGCUUGCAUAUUGAACUUUUCUUCAAGGAAGGAGGAGUACAUUCCUUGGUGCCUGCAUGGACCUCUCCAGUCCCUAUAGCUGUAGCAAACAAUAUGCCCAAGGAGAAAUGGUUCACUCCCAACCCAUUCUUGGCCGAGUCAGGCAUUUCUUUCUCCAAAUGGUCAAACCACCAUCGCGACUUCCCUCUGAUGAAGGACGAGGGAUGAACGCAAUGGAUUAACGAGCUCGAGCCUAUCUUUAAAAGGAAAUGGAUGAACAACGAAAUUUAUGAGCUGAUAAUGUUGUCCAAGUCGAAUAUGAUUGCUAAGCCCGAGUUAUUAACAACUGCACUUCUUUUUUGGAACUCGGGCUCCAACACUUUCAACUUUAAGAUGGGCCCCAUGUUCCCGACCAUCCUUGAUAUGGUGCAGGUCUUUGGGCUAAGGCCCUCGGGUAGGGUAAUAGACGUCACCCACGACUAGUCAUUGGCUUCUACAGUAUCCUCAGAAAGGCGUACUACGUCCAGCUUCUGUUUCAAGACUUCUAUGGCAUUGAGGAGUAGCUUCUACUUUCUUGAUCACUUCAUCAUCGUAGGUGUAUGCUUUGGGAUCAACUACCAUGACCUUGUCGGUUUUAGGAUCAAUGUCAAAGACUUUGGUAGGACUACUAUCAACCCAAGCUUUCUUCUCCUUAAGUGUCGAAGUAUCCAUUAGCUCAUCAUUGAUUCGAACGUUGAGUUCAUACAUGAAAGUGAUAGUGGCCUUUAGUGACCACUUAGCAUAAUCUUUGUCAAUCCUCUUUCUGGCAAUGGCCCUCAGCCUUAAUUCAUGUCCCCUCAUUCUAUAUCCAUUCCAGCUACCACCUCGUUGCCCAAGCUUGUUAAAGAGUUCCGGCGAAUUAGAACAAAGUUAAAGUCCUCAGGGUGCCCUUCAGAGCCUCAACAACUUCAGGAUCAGCUGUGGGAUUGAAGAGGUCAAGAAAGUAAAUGUUGAAGUUGAAGAUGCUUAAGCACAGUUAGCUAAUAGUAACAUUACUUUGGAGGAGCCAGGUAGAAUCUUCACUAUGCAGACAUACCAUUCUAGGCUAGCUGCCUUAGCCAAGGAUGUAAAACUAUUGAGCUGAUUCUUAUGUAACUUCAACAUUCAAUGAAAUGAAAAUGACUUCUUUAAUCCACUUUAGCUUGCAUUUUCUCCUUGAAACUCAACUAUGAUGAGCAUAUAAACUAACUUUUGGAUCUCUUACAAUGUCUAAACUUCUUCAAUGUAACAAUCCUUAACAUCCCACAAGGUUAGGUGAUAUUUCUUAAAAAACUUAGCAUUAACUGGAUGCCUCUGCAAGCUUCCUUCCACAUAUGCCAAGUAAUAUCCUCCUUUGUCUAGUACUUGGUGAAUAACAAAAGGACUUUCCCAAGUAGGACUCUAUUUCCCAAAGCUUCUUACGUGAGCUCCCAAAGGUAGCCCUGUUUUCCUUACUAAUUUUCAUCCCUUGAAGGUCUUUAACUUUACCUUCUUAUUGUAAGCUUGGGCAACAACUUUCUUCCCCUCUUGAAUUUUGUUCAAAGCUUCAAUUCGAGCUACAUCUAGAUCUUCAACUCCUUGACACAUAGCCUGAAUAUAUUUUUCACUGUGCAGCCCAAAUUGGUUUUGAAUCCUAAUAGAACUCACAUUUAUUUCUAUGGGGAGUACAUCAUUUUGCCCGAAGGUUAAGGCAUAAGGAGUAAUUCCAGUUCCUGCCCUCUUGGAGGUUCUAUAGGCCCACAAAGUCUCUCCUAAUUUCUCAUGCCACUUCUCUGGACUCUCGGCCACCAUUCUUUUAAUAAUGUUCACCAAGAUCUUAUUACUGGCCUUUGCUUGACCAUUUGAUUAAAGAUAGUAAGGACUAGACUGAAUCAUCUUUAUCUUGAACUUACUUGCAAACUCCUCUACUUCUCUUGAAAUAAAAGAUGGCCCGCGGUCUGUGACAGUUAUCUCGGGCACCCUAAAUUUAUGUAAGAUUUUGGUUUCAAUGAACUUUUUGACAGCAGUUGAAGUGAUAGUUUUUACAGCUGAAGCUUCCACCCACUUGGUAAAGUAGUAUGUUGCCAUAAUUUCGAAUGUGUGUCCUCUGCUAGAAGCUGGAUAUAUUUGCCCGAUAAAGUCCAUUGCCCAUCUUCAGAAAGGCCAAGGCUUGACCACGAGGUUUAAAGGUACUGAGGGCACAUGUUGGAGAGGUCCAUGUCUUUGACACUUUUCACAUCCUCAGGUAUAGGCCUUGCAGUCUUUCUCCAUGUCAGGCCAGAAGUAACCAUAUCUCCUAAGUAACCACCUCAUCUUGGUUCCCGCUUGAUGAGCUCCAUAGAUUCCUUCAUGUACUUCAGCCAUGACUCUCAUAAAUUCUUCUUGGCUUAAGCAUUUUAACAACAGUCCAUCUGGAGUUUUUCUUAACAUAACUUUAUCCCACAUGACAUACUUAGUUGCUUGUCGUCUAUUUUUCUUACUUGUAGGGAAGGAUGAAUCUUUCAAAUACUGAUCAAUAGGUGUCUUCCAAUCCUCUAUCUCUAUUUCUUCAGUCAUCACAUCUAGGCUAAAUCCCCUUUCAAAGAUAGACGAGAGAUUUCUUUUCUGAACUUCUAUAUUUACUUCAAACUUCAUUUCUUGGAUCUGUGCUCCAGAAGCCAACUGUGCCAUCUCAUUGGCCUUUGCAUUUGAUUCUCUAAGGAUAUAGCUGAUUGAUAUUUCAGUGCCCCAAUAACUUAACAAUUGAGUGGCCGCUAAGUAAUAAUCGGCCAUAGUGAUGUGUCUGAACUUGUAUUCUCCAUUUAGCUAAUUGAUCACCAACUCUAAAUCACCAAACACCUCGACUUCAAUUGCCCCUAACUCUAUUAAUAUUUCCAGGCCAAUUAUCAAUGCCUCAAACUCUGCCCGAUUGUUGGUAGUCUUUUGAUAAUCCAAGAGGAAUGCAUAACAAUGAUGAAUACCUUUGGGAUCAAUGAUAACAAUCCCAGCUCCAUCAACAUUUUGAAUGUAAGAACCAUCAUAACAGUCUUCAAUGAGUGAUCUAAAGGCUAGUUAUUCUUUUUAUCUCUUACUGGAUCCAUUCUUCUCUACCCGAGAAGGCUUUGCUUGGUGGGAUCCAUACACUGGCUACCUCCAGAGUUUCUGGGAUGUUAAUAAUCUCAUUUUGAGACUCUUGGUGCUCGGCCAAAAAGCCUGCAAUUGCUUAUCUUUUGAUCACUCUCUGAGACACAUACUGAAAGCUGAACUCUGAUAGUGCUAGAAUCCACUUUCCAAUUCUCACAGUUAGCAUUGGUUUUGACAGCAUGUACUUGAUCACAUCUGUUUUGGCGAUGAUGUGGAUGUGGUAAGGCAACAUGUAAUGCCUUAGCUUGCAGGCAGUGAAGUAUAGAGCCAAACACAGCCUCUCUAUUGGUGUGUAUCUUAUCUCUACCUCAGUAAGGAUUCUACUGACGUAGUAUAUUGCUUGUUCCUUCCCACCUUCAUUGUUUUGGGCCAGCAAGCUUCCCAUUGACUUUUUAGAGGCAGAAACGUAAAGUUUUAAAGGCUUCCCCCUCUAAGGUGGCAUGAGCACUGGUGAAGAGGCCAAGCAAGCCUUUAUUCUGUCUAAGGCCUCUUGGUGGGGUGGAACCCACUCAAACUCUUCUUUGUCUUUCAAUCUUAACAGAGGAGUUAGUAAUUGAAUCUUGUCCUCCAAGUUAGCAAUGAAUCUUCUUAAGAAGUUAACUUUCCUCAGCAGCCUUUGCAAUUGUACUUUAUUGGUAGGAGGAAGUGAUUCCAUUAUUGCCCGAGCUUUGUUCUUGUCAACCUCUACACCUCUUUGAUGAACAAGGAAUCCUAAAAAGUUGGCCGACCUUACCCGAAAAGAACAUUUCUUUGGAUUCAUUUUUAGUUUAUGGAUCCGCAUUCUUGUUAAGGCUUGUCUGAGGUCUACCAAGUGUUGUUCUUCAGUUUUAGACUUAACCAUGAUGCCAUCAAUGUAUACUUCCAUGCUAUGGCCAAUCAAGUCAUGAAAAAUGUCAUUCAUCGCUCUUGGAUAGGUUGCUCCAGCAUUUUUUAGCCUGAAUGGCAUUACUAAGUAUUCAUAUGCUCCAACAUGACCUGGGCACCUAAAAGCUAUUUUGUGUAUAUCUUCUUUAGCCAUAUUUAUCUGAUUAUAAUCGGCAUUCCCAUCCAUAAAAGAUAGGACUCUGUGUUUGGCAACUGCAUCUAUGGAUAAGUCAACCAUGGGCAUGAGACAUUCAUCUUUAAGCGUGGCUCCAUUAAUGUUUCUAUAAUCAACACAACAUCGAACUGCAUUAGUUAUAGCUUUUAAUACAUGUACAAUGUUGGCCAACCACUAGACAUAUUUGGCAGGCCUAAUAAAUCCAGCCUUUACCAGUAUCUCAAUCUAUUCUUUGACUUUUUCCUCGAUCUCUUUUGACAUCCUCCGUGGUGCUUGCUUCAUAGGUUUAUCUCUCUCCUUAAUAGGCAUUUUAUGUUCUACUAAGGUUGAAUCUAAACCUGGCAUCUUAGUGUAAUGCCAAGCAAAACAGUCUUUAAAUUCAUAGAGGAGACUCACUAUCUUUGCCCAAACUUCAACUUCCAACAUGCCACUGAUUUGUAUAGGUCUUAGAUCUUCUUUAGUCCCCAAAUUAAUGGUUUCUAAGGGAUCUUAUACCUCUAGUGGUGGCUUGUCAGGUUCUGCACACAAAAAUUCGACUAACUAUGGGUUUCGGGCAAGUUUUCUGGCCCAUCCAAGUUAUAUAUACAUUCAGCCAUUUGGAUGACUGAUUCCAGCUUAUUUCCAAAAAAGCUCUACCUCUUCUCUAUUCUGGAUGCUUGAGGCUUCUUCCUUUUGUUUUUUGGCCAAGCUCUCAUUUUCUUGCUUCAUCUCUCUUCCAUACACCAACAGUCUUUUGAUUAAGGACCUGACUGCAACUACUUGGUCCUUUCUUUUUUGUUUUGACAUUACUGGUGUUGGGGAGUUAGGACAAUAUAGGGCCUAUCCCAUUCUUCCUUGGUAAGGAAUAAUCCUUGUUCCAGAAGCUUUUGGGCCGUCACCUUAGUCGGGCGGCCGUUCUCAUCAGCUUCUAAGCACUGGAGAAUCCUAAUACUAGGAUUGUAAAGAUGACUUCUGCAACAUUGGUUGUAAGGAGGAAUGGCUGUGACUCGGCCUUCACCAUCUCCCAAAAUCAUGGUCUUAUGGCUAUUUCUUUAUGGUAAACUACUACUUGUUGAUGCAAGGUAGAAGGCACAAAGAGAUUCUGAUGAAUCCAAUCUUUGCCUAGUAAAGCUCCAUAGGUGGAAGUACUAUCCACAACGAAGAAGGCUAGCAUGAUUUUCUUGGAGCCCAAGUUAACCUCCAUGGGCAAUAUCCUAUGAGUUCUAGUGAUGGCUCCAAAGAAACUGGAAAUUGUUAGAUCUGUAGGGAUAAGAUCCUUCUCAUUUCUACACAUCAUUUUCAUUUGCUUAUACGGCAACACAUUGACCGCAGCUCCUCCAUGAAUCAAACCCUCUUAAAGGGUAUUCCCUCCGGAUUAGCAGUUACAUAAAUAGGCUUGAGAUGGUUAGCUAGGGUCAAGCUCGGGCAACUGAAGACCAUUCUGUCUGAGUACACUUUCUUGGGCUCUUUCUUUGUGGGUUUGAGCAAACCUACUCUGCCCGACUCCUCUUUUCCCGCUUCUUCAACACUAACAUGUGCCAUUAUAGGUUAUGUUACCAAGUAAUCACCCUCCAUUGUGGUAGGUUGAUUAGGGUCAUCACAAAACAUGGCAGAUAAAACAUAUGUCAUGUUUACGUGGAAGUUGCUGGGUUCAGGUAAGUCUUCCUUCUUGCUCCCAAUGUGGCCCAUGAAUUCAUCUGACCAGGCAUGUGCUUCUUUGGGCAGCAUUAGUUCGGUCAGCGCCUCCUCUUGAGUUAUGCCAAAGUUUGGCAUUUGUCCUGGAACUUCACAAAUAGUAUCGACCAACAAUGGUGAGGGUGUCCCCUUCUCAGGCGUGAUAGUUCCAAAACAUAUUGGCUCUGGGCUCCAUCUUGGUGUUGGCAUCAUUACCAUGUAUUCCUAAUGUCACGGGCCGCAUGUUCAAAACAAAGAAAAUGCCCAAGACAUCAUAUAUCUAAGCCCAUGAAGCCUUGUCUUCAUGGAAGCUUCUGGAACGUCCCGGAGAAAUCAAGAACGUGGCGGAGCAUUCAAGAUAAUCUAGGGCAUUCCGGAACAUUCCACACAAGUGUACAUAUUUAAGCCUCACCUAGAAUAAUCUAGAUUAGGCAAGUUGUAUCUAGAACUAUGCUUGAUAUUUUUGGAUGUAAGUAGGGGAUUCUAGAACCCUCCAUUGAGGAGGUGACUUAGGCCUAUAAAUAGGAGGUAAGGCCAUUUGGCCAAUCUAUCCAAGAAUUGUAAGCAAUUGUAAAGUUCUCUUAACUUUCAAUACAAAGCUUCCUUUCUCCCAUCUUCUAAGUGAUCUUAGCAUUCUCCAAGUUAUCUUAGCUUUCUUUGUGAUUCGAUCCGGGGAAGCGAGGCUUCGAAGGCUUACUUAGCUUGUUCGUCGAGGUAUUCAAGUCUAAGUGCCGCACGGGUGGAAGGCUUAAAGAGUCAUCCCGUGACACUAAGCUCUUCUCAAGAUACUAUACUUCCCAGGAUGAGGGUUUUUUGGCACAUGAUCUCCUUCCCCCUCUGUUUUGCUAUUAGCCUUUUCUACCUCCGUUUUGGUUUUCCAAUGAAGUUGAUUUCUUCCCCCAUGAGGUACUGUCUCAAACUUCACAUUUUCAGAGGCUUCUGAUGUAGUAGGGACUUUUAAUGAGUUCAUGUGGGCUUUGUGCUGCCUCUGGACUCUCAUGAUCAUAGAGGCUCUUAUUUCUUUAACAAGUCUCCCAUCAUUUCUAACCACGUACCAUUUCUGGCCAAGUCAGGCAUGAUUUUUCUUCAUGACUGGAUUCACUAUCCUCUCAUUUAUUCUGACAUCUACACCAACAUAUCUUAGCUGGGGUAGCCUCACGUCCACCCAUUUUGGUAUUUUGGCUUCUCUGUUUCCCCUUCUUCAGAGGCUUCAUAAUUUCUAAAUACCUCUGACAAGCCAUUUGGUUGAGAAUCUCCUCCUAACUGUUGGAAAACAUUUAUGGAUGUCUCUUUCUCAGCUGCCCGUAUGAUGCUUUUGUGGGCUUCUUGUUAUUCUUUCCCUCUUAUUCUGAUUAAUUCUUGAUCAAUAAUGGCUCCUAAUGCUGGGACUUCCAACUCGCAUUCACACUGGCACUUGCUACACAACACCAACCCUUUAACUAUGGCUGCUUUGGGCUUCUUGGGUAACUUGCCUUCUUUCUACUUUCACUUCCCAUGUGGUCUUUCCUUUCCUUUUUUUAGCCCAAGUCAAGUUGAUCAUGUUUAUUGAUAAGCUCAUAUUUAUAUACAUUUUACAUCAAAUUCACUUGUCUUUUCUUAGUUAGUUCCUUAUAUUUUUGAGCUAUUUACUUUAUUUUUGUGUUUUGUGGGAUUUGUCAAGCAAAUAAAAGAAAAAUAGCACAAGUAGGAUUUUUAGUAACAAAUUCGUCAAAACUGCCUGUGCAGAUCAGCUGACUUUGGAAGCAAGUUGCGAAUAGCUCAGAAUGAAUUAGAGAAUGAGCCUUAUAUUCUUGGAAAGCUACGGAUGUCUAUUUUCUGGAGCAUUUCACAGAUUGUUAAUAUCAUUUUUCUAGAAGAAGUUAUGGCCGUUUUAAUACUGAAAGGUUUCCAAGACGCUGAGCAGUUUGUAACUGCAUUGAAGGCAAUAAAUCCAAUAAAACUAGCAGCCAAGAACAAGUCAGCUGACACCUCUUCAAAUAUCAGAUAAAAUGGAAUUAAAGAUGAGGAUUAAGAGGGAGUAAUUGGCAUAAAGGCUACCUAAAGUGUUACAAUUGUUUUACCACAUUUCCUCUCACUUAUUGUCAUCACUAAAUGGCUAUUAGUGGGUGAGUUAAGGAGAAGAAAAUGAUGCAGCAAGAAUGGGUUUAAAAGCAGCAUUGGGGAAGGAAGGAGGGGAGGGGAGGCCUCGGUCGAUUUCUUUCGGUUCUAUCUUCUCAAACUCAUGUCUAUCUUUUGUUUUAAGUUAAGGAUUGUGUGUAACUAAAUUUUUAGUAGUUAGGGGCUGUUUUGAAGCCCCGAAUAUGAUUGCAAUUUUAUUAUGACAUUUCGUUGAAUUACUUUUAUGAAUGGAUGAAAAUUGGUUCACUACUUGUCUCAUUGAUGAAUUCUUUAUUUGUUUUCUAUGGAUGCAUACGUAGUAAGCAUAUCUAGGAUUCUAAUGCUAUGAAUAUGUGUGUGCCUGCCCUUGUCGAAUGAGGACCUACAUAUAUUCUAGAGUAGUACUUGUUAAUUGCGAUUAACAUGUGAACCAAUUUCUAGGAUAAGUAAGACAACGCCAGUACUUACGAUGCCUUGUGAUGACUCAAACUCUUUUCGUUCUUAAUGAUUUCUACUUGUUAAAUCUAUGAACACGCCAUUCUAGAUUGCAUGCUAGGGACUAAGUUAAGUUGAAAACGACAUUCUCUUAACAUACUACGUAAGAAAGAGUAAUAGGUUGAGUUCUAACAUUGAGCCAACUUGAGCAUCUUCAUCUGGAAAUAAAACGAAUUUGAAUGAAACAUAACAUGUUUGCAUGAUUAUUUGGUGGUGGAUAGCAAUUCCCCUAACUCGUUUUUCUUAAUUUAUGAACUAUUUAAAAUUUGUUUCUGUCCUGUUUUUGUUCGAUUUAAUUUAAAUAGCAAAUCAACUCCAAAAAUCCCAAAAAUUUGUGUGAUGUAACUCUGUGUGUCUAGUAUCUGCAUAUAAAAUUUCGUAGACUUUAGAUAAGUAUAAGUCGGUCUAAUAAUUAUUUUUCGGUGGCUGGUCAGUGGGGACAGCAACCCGUUUUUGUGACAUUUUAAGUAAAAGAUAAAACAAUCUUCUGCGGGAAAGACCCUUAUUUUCAUAUGCUACAAUUGACAAAUCUUAGUGUUAAUAAGGAAAAUCAAUAGGAUAUUUGUGUGCUACUUUGUAGUGUGCUUUUAAUCUUAUCAUUUAUUGGGGAUUCUGGGAAAGGAUCCAUGUCAAUCAUCAUAUUGGCUUGUGAUUUUUCCAACAACAACUUUCCCUUCACUAUAAGGUCUUGUAUCAAAUCCCUGAACUGGACACAAUUGGUUAUGGAGUGAUUAAAGGUAUAGUGCAGCUUGCAAUACUUCUUUCCCCUCAGCUCUUCUGGCUUAGGCAUAUUUUUGGUGCUAUCGGGCACAAUCACUCUUGCCCGCACCAACUCUUUAUAGAUCUCCAAGAUCUUGGUCAAAUCAAAAGAGUACCUCUGGUAUUUAGGGGUUUCAUAGGGAUAGAUCCACCGUCAUUCAUCACCACUUUUUGAUCCUUGACAGGUUAAACUAACCCCUUCACUAUUAAAGGUUUAAAUGGGGUAGCCAUCUCUGCCGCACACAUGUCCAGUCCUUCUCUUCCAUGACCAUCAUUUUCUUUUGGUUCUGCUCCUUCAAACUCCACUUGGUGGAUUGUAGCUUUACUUUUGUAGAAAUGAGGCACCUUAGAUAAGUGUUUUACUUGUUAUUCUUUAAGUAACAGCUUCUCAUACUUUGUGGCAGCAAUCACCAAUUCUUGCAACUCAUUGAAUUGUACAUCAUAAAACUUUUUUCUCAAAGGCAGUCUCAAAGCCUUCUGAGCAAUGGAUAUAAGUUGGGCAUGAUUAAUAGGGAAUUGGCAUCUCAUUCUUGUCAUUCUGAACCUUAUCAUGAAGUCUUCUGUAGACUCAUGUUCAUAUUGCUUCACCUCUACUAAGUCAUUAAUGAACAUCUUGGGCUUCAUCCUAUAGAACUACUCAUGGAAAGCCAUCUCCAUUUGCCCCCAGUUAGCAAUAGAAUUAGGGGGCAAAAAAGAGUACCACUGAGAUGCUAGACCCACCAACGAGUUCCCAAACAAUCUUAACUUAUAAUUAGGAUUGUCCUCGAAUGCCACGCAAUGGUUGGAGAACUUGAAAAUGUGAUCUCUAAAGGACACACUUCCAUAUUCUCCACUAAAAGUGGGGAACGCGGGCAUCUUGAAGUUGAGUGGAAAAAGAUUUUGCUCAUCAAUAUACUCAGGGUAUGGCUUCUAAUAGGUGAUCCUGAAUAGCGGGCAAGCAUGAGGUUGAGCAUUCUGGACCACUAUCUUCCUUAACUCAGUUAACUUCUCUCUGAGUUGUUGGUUACCUGCAUUGUUCUAUGGGGUAUAUGGGGCUCCCCAUUUCGGGUUGGGAUCAUUGCCCGAUAAGGAUUCAUUCUUUGGGUCGGGCUGUCGAUUGUGUUGUUUCCACUUGGCAUCCCCUCCCUUAGUAGCCAAUGGUAGAUGCCUAUAAAGAUGAGGCUCGUCUGCCUUGGUAGGCUCGUCUUUUCUAUUGGAUUAUCCGAUUAACUGAGGCAUCCCAUACUUCCUUUUUUCCUGCUGACUCUAUCCCCCACUAUCUAGUGGAAAUAAUAGGGGGUCGGGCAGCUCUGACUCUAGGAUCUCCUCCAACACUAGCUGAUUAGCUCUAGAUCCCUCAUUGUUUUUUCCUUUAUCCCUUUUUUCCUCAAGCAAAGGAAAUACAGGGAUAACUGGUUCUUUUUUAGGGCUUGUUUCCCUCAUUUCCCUGGCAUAACCAUUUUUUGGAGUAGAGUACUCCAGAUCUAAUCUUCUUUGCAAGCUCCCUGUUAAAGAACAGAGUCUGCUUACUUUUCCUAUGGUCUCCAGAGUGAUCUUCUCCAUACUUUUCAACACUUGCACCAUGGUGUCUUGCAAAUCUUCAUUGGUCACCUUCCCUUCUGACUUCUCGGAUGAGGUCGGACUUCCCAUAAUAGCUGAUGGGGAAAUCUUCUGGCUGAUCUGUCAUGCCUGAUCUUGGUAGACACUGGGGUGGCCCGUAUUCUGUGUUCCUGUGUUCCACUUGAAGGUUUUCUCCUUCAUUCUUCUUCUUGGCAUACAAGACUAAUGGGAUCCCACCAGGUGUGCCAAAACUAUGUUCGGGCGAAGAUUUCUCUGGAGAAGGCUCCUUGGACCUCAGCAUAGCUCCCCAAGGGAUUGACAUUUUGGAUGUGUAGUCGGGCUCUUACUUGCUGAUGUGCUACAAGAAAAGGACAAAGUUAGUUUUGAAGGGUGCCUUUGUGGGGCCUUAGGUGUAGGCCUUGAGGUUCGCAACCAAAACUAACUAAGUGCUAGGUGUCAUUGCUAUCUGAGUAUAGCAGAUGUAGAACAAGUGUGUUUAGUCAAUUACUUGCGCCCCAAGUUACUCGGACUUAUUGUUAUCAAAUGAUUGUCGUGGAUGUGUUAAGUCCACAUUAAGUUCUUUUUCUUGCCUUGUACACAAGAACUUUUAGUUCAUAGUCUUGUAUUUUCAAAUGAAGGGAGUCCAGAGCCCUUUAAGCCAUUUACUUAGUUGUUCUUGGUUGAUUUUAAUGAUAACAUAUCCAUUAAACUAACCAGAUCCAUAUGCAAAUGGAACUCUUAAAGUAGGAAAACUAAUGGAAAUAACUUGAAUACAUACUGGAGAAUGCAUUAAGUAAUAGAUCUACAAAUUUAGAAAACAAACAAAGUGCCUCGGGCAAGAUUUCACCUUGUCUGGCAAGGUCGAACCUCUUGUAAUCGCUUCUCUUUGAACUAACAGUGGUUUGUACCCUAAAAAGGGAUGGAUGGUAAACAAGUUUACACAAGGGAAUCGAUACUAUGCCACUAAGGGAGGUAGCAGAGCUUUAAACUGGACAAGAGAUAGCUUGUCACUAAAAAUGACUGAAUCUGGGUUGAUUUCAGCUUUUGGAUGCAAAUCUGGCUUGAGAGCAGAGUUUGUAUGUUUGUCUGUUUGAUCGGUUGAGUGUCCUUGUCUCUCUCUUCUUCCUUUUAUAGGCAAAUUAGCCUGACUGCUGUAACUUUGUUCCGUCCGAAAACACUUGGAGGGUAGUGAGUCAUCAGCUGUUUACUAAGAAUGCCAUUAGAAAGUGUUCUUUGACUGGUAGUAGGUUAGUCUCCAUCACUUGUCACUUCAAUGGUAAGCACGUGUCCUGUAUCUUGGCUGAUAAGGCUUCAAUCUGCCUUUGGGCUUGAUGCUGGGUUUCAAGCAAGUCUCCUUUAAUUUGGCACCCUUGGACUUUCCUUCAUCCAAGUCUAAUGUUCAAAUAUUAACCCAAACACCUUCCUACUCCCCCACUUCUAACAAGGACUUGGGUUCUUUCUCUCUCCAGUCCCUCUUGCUCAGACCAGCUACCUCUAACUAGUACACUGCUACAACUUCUUUGCUUAGCUAUUGCCUAUUGGGUUUUCUCAAAUUUAUUUUAUUUUUCGUUUAAUGGAUAUUCUUUUUCGUUUUACGUGUUUCCGUGGAUUGGUUUGUGGUUUGUAUGGUUACAUGAUGGGAAAUGGGCGUGAUUCGUUUGUUGUUUGUUUGGUUGUCGGGAAAGUUUGGAGAGAAGAGCAAUUGAAAUUGUUGUUAUGGGGUUGAACUGGGUAGAGGAAAAAGGUUAGGAAAGAUCAUUUGUCUCCUGUUUCCUGAGAAAUGAACCUUUUUUUUGUUCUCCAAAUUCAUAUUUUUGUAAACGAUUUUUAUGUUACUAAUUGCUAAGGAGAGAGCUUGAGUGGAAAGCAUGACAGCCGAACAAAGUUUGUUUGCCUAGUUCUAGUGGUAUAGCACAUAAAGCAUGAAUUUUUUGUUGCCUUGUUAUUUUACUGAUUUGCAAGCGGGAUCUUAUGUUUUUCGAGAGCAUCAAAGGUUUAUCAGGUUUAUUAGAGCACUGGUUGGGAUUAUCCAAUUUUUUUUAUGGGAUUUCUUAGGUGAAAAAGUUUGUUUCGAUGUUUUGAAAUCUGAACAAUAUCCUCGGUAAUGAAUGUACUGUGUAAAUGCAUUGUAUUUUUGAAAUUACUAAUCCAAAUGUGUUGAGUUUAAUGCACUAUUCUAAAAAUCCCUGCCUAGCACCGUCUAGGCGCUAGGCGGUUGGUCACCACCCUGAUUAAUACCUAGGCAUUUGAAAAUUAAGAAAAGGGCACCUAGACCUACUAAGGCACCCGCCUAGACCGCCUAGGCACCCGCCUAGUCCACCCAGACCCGUCUAAGUUGCGACUCACUUAGAAAGAAAAUAGAUAACUUUCAUUUUGCAUUUUAUUUUUUCAAUAAAUUGUAAGAGAUUUGUUAAAUACUUAAAGGAACACACAUUAUAUACUUGUUCUCCAUGUUUUCAUUAUGUUCCAAUAGCUCAUAAUAUAUAUGUCAUUCAAUUUUGUAUUUUAUGAUGAAAUGAUAUAUAUUUUUAAGUAUAAACAGACAUUUAUUUACACAAAAUAAAAUAGAUUUAAUUAAAUCCGCCUAGUCCACCUAGGCGCCCGCCUAGACCCCGCCUAGCCGCUUAGGCGCUAGACCCCAGCCCGCCACCCGAUUAGCGUCUAGCGUCUAGCGUCUUUUAGAACCUUGAUUUAAUGUCCUAAUUUCUUGAGCAUGUUUUCUGUUGGAGGAAUGAAUUACGAGUUACUAUGCUUUGACCAAAGUCAUCUCACAUUAAUCAAAUCCGGUUAGCAAUCUUAGUUGUCCGACAUAAUAAUUCCCUUGUUACAUGAUCUGCGUAAAAAUAGGUGGCUUGGAUUAAUUGGGCAGUUCCGCCCGAAGAAACUCUUUUCUUCUAUUAAAGCUGAAUUUACCAAUGAUGAGAUGGGGGUCCCUACAUUCAAAGAUGUGGCGAAGCAUGUCUUGGACAAGUCACUUUAUUCGUAUGGAUUUUGGCACACAGCUUCUCUUCUUCUGUCUCCAUCAUCAUCCAUAAAGUUGAGCACAGAAGGGCAUGGUGAGAAAAAAAGACGCCCCAACAAAUUGAUGCUCUUUCAUAAGGCACGCAUUUACUUUCCUGUUUUGACCUUUAAUCAAAUUGUUUGUGAAGCUAGUUUGAGGGAUAAUUUGUUUACUGAUUGGAGUUGUUAGGUUUAAAGUUCUUUUUUGGGUUUGUUCAUGCCAGGUUGUAGUAUCAUCCAACUGCGAUUUUUUUUUCUUUCAUAUGACAAAUUUCAAUUAUAGGAAUUGAAGUUAAAAAUAAGUAAUUAUAGGGAUGUAUCACUUGAACUUUACCAGAUUCUGUCAGCAUGUAUAAUCUUAAAGUAUUGUUUCCUAAUUUCUUAAUUGUUGAAAAGUAGGGCCUUGUUUGGUCACUAGGAUUGGAAUGGAAUGGACAAACUACUAUAUUCAGGGUAUAUUAAAGAUAGAGGUGAAUGAUUUUUCAUAUUGAGGUGAUUAGAAGGGGGAUAUGGAAAAUAAUCCAUCUCCUACCUUCAAGUAAGCCACAAUUUUUUCAUUUCUUUCAUCAACAUACCUUGAAUAUAGUGGGUUGUCCAUUUCAAUCCAAUCUUAGAGACCAAAUGAGACCACAAUUUUUUCAUUUCUUUCCUGAACAUACCUUGGAUAUAGGUUUAUAUAUAUAUCAAUAUGCUUCAAACAUCUUAAUUUACAAGUUUCUUCUGUUUACCACUUUAUUUAUAGUUUACAUGACUUGAUAACAUCGCACAUAUGCACUGCACGGAACAUAGAUAAAAUUGGAAAGUUUCAUGUCUAUAAAUUAAGAGCCAUGUACUGAAAAGGUUAAUAUCUGUACCUUUAACAUUGCACAUGUGCUGCCUAAGCUGUUUUAGUGAAAAAGUUCAUGUCUGUACCUUUAUUUCAUUUAUUUAUCUUCCUGUUUAAAUUAUGAGCCAUGCAGUGGCGAAGCCAGGAAUUGACGGGAGGAGGGGCGAAGUUAUAAGCCAGGACUUCUUAUAUUUGAAGGAGGAGGAGGAUGACUACUUGGAAUAUUUGAAGGAGAAGGACUACCCGAAAUGUUUGAAGGAGGAUUUAAGCAUUGUUUCUUAUAGUACCGUUCCAUUACGUAACUGUAAAAUGGAAAGAGAAAAAAAUCUUAGACUCUUAAUCCUAGAGUAGACUAUACUAAUAUACAUAAUAACCCAACCAACAAUUCAAUUAAUCAAUACCAAUAAGCAUAUAAAUUAUUAAAUAAAUAAAAAAUUCAUUCAACUAAUCAUAUGAAUACAACUAAUCAAAAAUUCAAAUUUUAAUUUUCACCCUAAAAAAUAAUUUCAUAAUUUCAUAUCAAUCAAUAAUCAUAGAAUCAUAUCAAUAAUCAAUAAUCAAUAACCAUAUUAGUGCAUUACCAUAUGAUUCUAUACUAAUUAAACAAAAUUCGUAUUAAAUAAUUAAUUAGGGUUAGGGAUUAUAAAUUUAGGAAUUAAAAAAUUUACCUUUGAAAUUGAAGGCUAGAAGUCGGCUUAGCGGCUGGAGUGGCUAGUGUUAGCAGCAAAAAGCCAACAGAAAUCAGCCAAUGGGGAUUUAUUUUCCGUUCCGUUGGGGUUGGGCGUUGGCUGCAGGCUCAGGCUGUUGAGAUUUUGGGAGAAGCUUUGCACUCUCUCUCUCUCUGAUUGGGGAAGGGAGAAAUUUGGAAUGGUAAAGCAUGACACGCGGGCUGACUAAGUG
rnacentral:lncRNA from 1 species